rnacentral:rRNA from 1 species
CCUUAAGUCUGAUGUGAAAGCCCACGGCUCAACCGUGGAGGGUCAUUGGAAACUGGGGAACUUGAGUGCAGGAGAGGGGAGCGGAAUUCCACGUGUAGCGGUGAAAUGCGUAGAGAUGUGGAGGAACACCAGUGGCGAAGGCGGCUCUCUGGCCUGUAACUGACGCUGAGGCGCGAAAGCGUGGGGAGCGAACAGGAUUAGAUACCCUGGUAGUCCACGCCGUAAACGAUGAGUGCUAAGUGUUGGAGGGGUCAUACCCUUCAGUGCUGCAGCUAACGCAUUAAGCACUCCGCCUGGGGAGUACGGCCGCAAGGCUGAAACUCAAAGGAAUUGACGGGGGCCCGCACAAGCGGUGGAGCAUGUGGUUUAAUUCGAAGCAACGCGAAGAACCUUACCAGGCCUUGACAUCCUCUGACAACCCUGGAGACAGGGCUUCCCCUUCGGGGGCAGAGUGACAGGUGGUGCAUGGUUGUCGUCAGCUCGUGUCGUGAGAUGUUGGGUUAAGUCCCGCAACGAGCGCAACCUUCGUCCUUAGUUGCCAGCAUUCAGUUGGGCACUCUAAGGAGACUGCCGGUGACAAACCGGAGGAAGGUGGGGAUGACGUCAAAUCAUCAUGCCCCUUAUGGCCUGGGCUACACACGUGCUACAAUGGGCGGUACAAAGGGUUGCGAAACCGCGAGGUGGAGCUAAUCCCAAAAAGCCGCUCUCAGUUCGGAUUGCAGGCUGCAACUCGCCUGCAUGAAGCCGGAAUCGCUAGUAAUCGCGGA